rnacentral:tRNA from 1 species
GGGCCAUAGGCACAACGAAUAACGCGCCUGACUACGGAUCAGGAGAUUUCAGGUUCGAAUUCUGGCUGGCUCG